GUGCAUGCCUAUAGCAUAUAAUGAAUGCACCGGAUCCCAUUAGAACUCCACAGUUAAGCGUGCUCAGGCUAGAUUAGUGUUGGGAUGGGUGAUCGCCCAGGAAUUCUUAGUGUUUUACAUU
rnacentral:rRNA from 1 species